GCUUUCAUAUAGGGGGGCCAACAGCUCACUCAGCACAGGAGAGCAAGAGACGCAGACUGCAGCUGUGGGAUUCAGCUCCGCCUGGGAUGAAGACUUUCUCAGCGCUUAGCAAUAGAAAAAACAUCUGAAACCGCUCAACGAUUACAAUAAAUAUAUAAAUAUCAGCGGAUUUCUCUGCAACCGCCCCGUUGGUUGGAAACAACUCCAGCCGACUCCAAAGAAAGGAGCAGCAGAGGAAAAACACCGCCGUUCAGCCGGGCCUGUGCCGAUUGUCCUCUUCCAUUGGAACCAUGGUGGCAGCAGUCCUUAAGUUGUAUUUCAUUGGAACCGCGCUGACUGUCCUUGCAGUCAUUUGUGGAAUAGUGGACUCCUUUGGUGGUCUGAUGUAUGUCCAAGACCGAAACUACAUACUGGAGCUGGACCACCAGACACAGAGGGAGCUCUCGUCAAGCAUCCACCAGCGACGCUCGUCUGUGACUAAAAACAUCGGCUCAUAGUGGAGAGAGCCUUGGACGUGAUUUACAGAAAUGUCCGCUGAAUGGACACGUUGGACACUGUGGCAAUGGAUCAAGAGACUGUGAGACUUCAUGCUUCCAUUGCUGAGUUUUGAUAUCAUUAUUGUGUCUAACUUCUAAUACGUGUUGUGUGCUUUGGAAAAGCUCAACAUAGGACUGUUUGUUGAUUAUGGAUGCCUAAUCCCAUAACAUGUCUAUUUGUUCCACUUUGUAUGAUCUGCUGUCAGACACUGUAGCAGCUACUCUGAAUCAAAGCAACCACAAAUCUGACCCCAAAUGUGACAGCACUACUGAACCGUCUGCUUUGCGCUAACUGAGGAAGUUUUGUUCUUUCUUUUUGUCCUGUCUUUUUUUUUUUCUUUUUUAAUAAAAGGAAUUGAAUUAAAUGGAA